rnacentral:rRNA from 1 species
AUAAACCUACGGGACGCAGCAGUGGGGAAUAUUGCACAAUGGGGGGAACCCUGAUGCAGCGACGCCGCGUGAGUGAAGAAGUAUUUCGGUAUGUAAAGCUCUAUCAGCAGGGAAGAAAAUGACGGUACCUGACUAAGAAGCCCCGGCUAACUACGUGCCAGCAGCCGCGGUAAUACGUAGGGGGCAAGCGUUAUCCGGAUUUACUGGGUGUAAAGGGAGCGCAGACGGCUGGGCAAGUCUGGAGUGAAAGGCGGGG